GGAUCGAUGAUGACUUUCAUACAUGCAUUCCUUGGAAAGCUGAACAAAAUGAGUGAAAACUCUAUACCGUCAUCCUCGUCGAACUGAGGUCCAGCACAUUGCUCUUACAGGGGCUGGAGUGAGGGCCAAGUUUCAUUUGUUGCUGCAGGUUGCACCAAGGGGUUUGUUCAGUUGUAGGAGGGGCUCCCUUUCUGCAAGGGGUAGUCACAGGGUUGUGAGAUCUCUCAUAAAUAGGAAAUUGUUUUAGGGACUUCUCUCUGCAAGGUAACACACACACACCGUCUGUAGGACUAUGUGAAUGUGAAGGUGACAUGGGAAGACUUAGCCUGUAGCCUGCCUCUGGUGGCCAUAUUUGUCCUUGAGUCUUAGCUCUGGGUUCCAUCAUUCCCUUGAGGAAAGACAGGUGUUUGUGCUUGGGAAGAGAGCACAAAGCCCCACCUUUGCUGUUUUUUCCACUCAUUUUCAUCAUUGUUCAAGGACAUUGCAGUUCCGGUUUUAUCCAUAACCAGGGAAGCCAGAGACAGGCAGAUAGCAGAUAUGCCAUAGGGGGCCAGAUGACACGGCCCUCAUGACCUGUGAAUGUGUCUGCUUUUUUGAAGCACACUCGUAUUUCCGCUGCACUUCCCAGGUGGUGUUGGCAUGAGGAAAGGAGGUAUCUUCGAGGGACAAUCUUCUUCUUGUGCGAUCCUUGGAGAUGCCAUGAGGCCCCUGGACACAUGUGGUGUGGGCUCCUUUGGAGGCUGUUGUAUCCCUUCUGAAUGUGGCGUGGGCAUAGAAGGAAGGCCAGUGGCCACGAGGGACAAUCUUGGUCUUGGGAGAUCCUGGAAAUGAUAGGGAGUCCCUUGAUAUGUGUGGCAUGGGCUCCUUCAGGUGCUAGUGGAUUCCUUAGGAUGGUAGCAUUGGCAUGGAAGGCAGGCCCAUGUUGGUGAGGGACAAUUGUUAUCUUGUGUGAGCCGCAGGGAUACCAGGAAACCCCUGGACACAAAUGGCAAAGGCUUCUUUGGAAGUUGUUGGAUCCCUUCUGCAUGUGGUGUUGGCAUGAAAGGCAGGCUUGUAUCAUGAGGAAUGAUUGUCAUCUUGUCUGAUUCUUGGAGAUGGCAGGAAGCCCCUGGAAACACAUGGUGUGGACUCUUUCACAGGCUGUUGAAACCCUCCUGAAUGUGAGGCCAGAGACAGGCAGACAGCAGAUGUAUUGCAGGGAGCUGGAUGACAUGGCCCUUGGAACCUGUGCACAUGCCUGCCUUUCUGAUGCACGUCCAUGUUUUCUCUGCACCUCCCCGGUGGUGUUGGUAUAAAAAGCAGGCUUACAUCAGCAAGGGAUGAUUGUCGUCUCAUGCGAUCCUGGGAGAUGGCAGAAGUCCCGGGACACAUGGAGUGUGGGCUCUUUCGGAGGCUGUUGGAUCCCUCCUGAAUGUAAGUGAUUCCUUCUUAAAGCAUGCUGAUUUUCCUCAUUUGCAGGGGCAAGGACUGGAUCGAUGAUGACUUCCAUAUGUACAUUCCUUGGAAAGCUGAACAAAAUGAGUGAAAACUCUAUACCGUCAUCCUCGUCGAACUGAGGUCCAGCAUACUGCUCAUCAGGGGCUAGAGAGAGGGACAACAUCCGUUUGUUGACAAGGGCUGUGUCAACACUUGGGAUGGGGUCGUCUUUGGGUGAAGUGGAGUAGCUGGGCAUUUUGGACUUCUGUGGCUGAGAGACAGCUUAGUUGAAGCACUUCCCUCUGCGCAGCUAUGUGUGUCCUUGAUUCAAACUCCUUGGCUCCUGCACUCCCCAGAGGAAGACAGUGGCUUCUGCAUGGGGACACCACACAAUGUUGUUCCUGUGCACUUCUUUGGUUCACUUUCACCCUCAUUUGGGGACGUGGCAGUUCCCAUGGUGUUUAGGUAGCAUUGAGGGCAGGCAGUCCUCAGGAGGAUGUUGAUGCUGAUUUGCUUUCUGCAGAGGAGCCAGAGAGGGUAUCCAUGUUGAACUUGUAUAUCCAUAGGAGGAAACCAGUCCCAUGGCCCCUGAAGGGUCCUGGCAGUGGGAAGGGGAGAGGUCUGCAUGUGCAUGUACUGGACAGCAUAUUCCAUGUGGGUCAUGGAGUGAUGACUGUGGGCCUCUUUCGGGCAUUGUAGCAGGCCCCCAUUUCAUUUCAUGAUGACCUCGGGGUGCUGGGACAGGAAUGUGAUUGCGGGUCCACGUGCUUCUGCAACUCCUCAGACUGACUUGGUUUGGAAGGUCUGUGUUCAGGACCCUCUGUGAGAUGCUUGUCUCCAUUAGGCAUUUGAGCUUAUAUCGGCCCAGGGUUUCUACCUAUCGUAGGUUGUGCAUACUUUGCCUCUGAACCACUCAGGCACCUCGAUGCAGUCAACGUGCCCGAUUAUAAGAGUGUGACUUCCCAUAUCCUGGUGAUCUCUACUCGGAAACAUGGUCCAGGAAGGUCUCUGUGCUUAAAUACCUUAGUAGCUCGUGAUGUUAGGUUAUUUUCUAAUUCCUCCUAAUUCUUCCCAGGAGUCUUCUUUGUGAAAUAGUCAUCUUGUUGUAGGACAGGGCUGGUAUCCACAGGCAGUGAUGCAUAGGUUUUGCACUGCGCGGCCAUGUUCAAAGGCAAGUGCCUUAAAAUGUAUGGUGUUCUCAGCCACAGUGCCUUAGAAGCCAUGUGGGAUUCAGUGUGUCUGGUGGUCCUCUGAGCUGCACCUGUGAGGAAGACGCUGAGGUAGAGGUUAAGUUGUUAUUGAACGUUUUUCUCAAUCUGAAAAGUGUUCAAGCAGCCCAGGGUGAAAAGUCUUCAAGACUGAAGGAAAAUUGCCUUUUGUACUGGAAGAGUUUUUCCCCAAAACUCUCCUCAUUUAAAUAGCCCUGUGGCUUGUGUCUUCUCUGAUGACCAAGAGGAGGGCUUUUGAGUCAGUGAUGGCAAAUGAGUGGUUUUGAGAGAGUUCUUACACUUAGGGCUCUGUAGCUUGAUGGUGCCUUCAAAAUUAACACGUGCCUGCUAUCUUCAUUCCUGGGUAGACCCAUACACCCAUCCCAAAAGGGGAGUAGCCUGUGGGAAGCACAUAUGGGAUAUACCACAGUGAGUCGAGUGGAAUGGCCCUUUUGACAUGUGUACCUGCCUCCCGUUCUUAAGCACACCCGUUUUUCCUCUGCACUUCCCAGGUGUUGUGGCCAUGGAAGUAAGGCCAGUGGCUACGAGGGACAGUCUUCAUCUUGGGAGAUCCCUAGAGAGGGCAGGGAGCCCCUUGACAUGUGGAAUGUGAUCUCUGUUGGGUGCUGGUGGAUCCCACAGGUGGUCUGGCAUGGAAGAAGGCCAGAGGCUGCGAUGGAUCAUCUUUGUCUUGGGAGAUUCCUGGAGAUGGUGGGGAGCCCCUGGGCACGUGCAGCAUAUGUGGCGUGGGCUUCUUCAGGUGCUGGUGGAUCCCUCAGGAUGGUAAAUGUCCAUUUUCCAAAAUCUUCUGAUAUUCCAUCUUUGUAGGUACAAAGACUGUGCAUGGAUCGAUGAUGACUUUUAUACAUGCAUUCCUUGGAAAGCUGAACAAAAUGAGUGAAAACUCUAUACCGUCAUCUUCGUUGAACUGAGGUCCAGCACAUUGCUCCAACAGUGGGUAGAUAGAGAGGGAAAACUUCCAUUUGUUGACGCAGGUUCCAUUGAGGGGUUUGUCCAGGCUUAGGAUGGGGUCCCCUUUGGGCAAAGGGAGUCACAGGGGAGUGCGGCCUCCUGUGCACAGGAGAUUCCUUGUGUGAAGGAUUUACCUCUGUGAGAGCAGGGUAGCACACAUAACUAUGCAGGAGCAGGUGAAUGUGCAGGUGGCACAGGAAGAGUUAGAUGGCAGCCUGUCUCUGCACAGCGAGGUUUGACUUGUCCUAGCUCUGCAUUCCCUCAUCCCUUAGAGGAAGUUGGUUUCUUCAGAAGACUUAAAUUUGUGGAAUUCAGUAGAAUAUUAUCCACAUAAUGUUCCCAGUGAAUGCUAGGCAUAUCACCCAAGAUGGCCAGGCCUCUGGCCAUAAACCAUAGUAAAUAGUAGGGUGUGCAUAUAUCCAUUAGGGAGAACCUGAAAGGUCCUUUUUUGGCCCUCCAAGGUGAAUGCCUGCAAAAGCAAGCGAAGCACGCUAUCUGCCUGCAUGAGCCCCAUGUACCUGGCGUGGCCUGUGCUCCUCACCGUGUGUCCCACUUCUGCUGCCCCUUCGCCUUGCCAGGUGGAGUCUGACUGAUUUUUUGCCACUGCUGCCACCACAGGCCACCUGGAGCCCCAGCCAGUUUGAGGAAAGUGGCUCUGCUUGAUUUUCCUUUUUUCUUUUUUUUUCCUCUUUUUUUCUCCAUUUCUGACUUCAGCAGGUGGGACUUGGAGCUUCUGCUUCUGCAGCCACAGAAGACUCCCCAGUUUGGAGGGCUGUGGUUGUGGGCUCCCUAAGCAUCUCUCUGCAGAGCCUCUUUGUUUUCCAUUUUACCCACCAUGUCAAUAAUUUAACACAGUGGCGGAGGAGUUCAUGUCUCUUCCUAUUUGUCAUUACUCUUCUAACUUUCACAGCUGUACUCGGCUACUGGUCAGAAUAAGAGAAAAAGCAGUGGAACCAGGAGGAUCCUACAAGAAAUAUUCCAUUUCACUUUUGUUUGUGCAUAUACCUUUUCUGUUUAAAUGUGGACUUCGAUUUGAUAUGCUUCCAGUGCAGACACAGAUCCCAUAUGUAAGAGAGUAUGGAGUUGCAUAGAAAGAAGACUUGUCAUUUUCCUGUACUGUUGGUGUUCUAAUCUGUCUUCGUGGUUUUUGCCUCUUCUGGCUUUAGAAGAUACACCAACAUGGUUUUGCAACAUAGCCUCUUCUUAUUUUAGUAAGGGACCAAAUGUGCAUGUCAGUAACAGGUGUUACCUUGAAUUGGGAUCAGUGCUUGUGUGACUAUAUUCAGUGAUGUCAUUUUCUGUCACACUCAAGUCACAAAAUAUUUAACCACUUAUUUUUUUAUCUCUGGAGGAAUAAUCCAAAAGAUUGUACUGGUAAAGCCAGAACAAUUUCCAAUUAUGCUAAUUAUUUGUAUAAUACUUAGUUGGCUUUAUCUGUGGUUUGUUGGCUUAUUUUCCUGUAGCUUUUCAAGGUUUUUCUAUGAGUUCUGUUAAAGAGUCUGAAAAUGGAGCGUAGAAGACAUGCUUCGAUUUCCAGGAUGGUUGUGUUUUCCAGAGAGGCGGAGGUAAACCACUGGCGCAGCCCUGCCUCCCACAGAUAAUUCCGGGUGCAGUGUUUCAUAUCUAGACUUGGACUUCUAUCCUACCAUACUUCUUUGUGUGCAGUUCAUUGUGGAACCAGCACAGAUUUUCAUACGAAAGUUAUUUCUUUUUAACCUCAAAAAGUGACAGAAUGGAGUGUAUCAUGAAAAAGUCUGACAUCAAAACCUCAAAAUGUGAUAUUGAUUGGGUGAGAUAGAAUUCCAUGGAAUUUCAUUGCCAAACCAGUGAAGUGCUAAUUUUGACAUUUGUACCAGCUAACGUAGCUGUGAAGAAACACACCAAUACACUUCUAAGGACAGCAUAGACCAAGAUCUAGGUUUCAUAUGGAUGAAUUUAUUCUUCCCUUUGAGGCAAGACAAGAAGGAAAGAAAGUAUUGGGAAUAAUGCUGCCCUCCCAUCCUCAAGGGCCAGUGGGAACUCUAAUAUUGAUUGGGUGAGAUACAAUUCCAUGGAAUUUUACCACUGAACCAGUGGAGGGCUAAUUUUGUCAUUUGUACCAGUUAACUAACUUGGGAGGAAACAGAACAACACACUCCUGAGAUUGGUUUUCACAGAAUUCCAUGGACUUUAACUGCUGAACCAAUGAUGCACUGAUUUUGUCACUUGUACCAGCUAACGCAUCUGGGAGGCAACAAAACAAUACUCUCCUGAGGUUAAUGUGGACCAAAAACUAGAUUUCAUAUAAAAGAGUUUAUUCCUUCUACUUGAGGUGUGACAUGAAGGAAAGUAAUGGAAAUAAUUCUGCCCUCCCAUUCUCAAGGGCCAGGGGGAAUUCAAAUAUUGAACGGAAGUGAUUUUGGAAUUGCAUGGAAUUCUCACUGCCAUCCCAAAGAAAUGCUGAUCUUGUCACUCUUACCUGUUUCAUUCCCUGGGGGCAGAACAAAAGGACGCACUCCAAAGAUCGGCAUGAACCAAGAACUGGGUUUCAUAUAAAAUAUUUUAUUCUGUCCUCUUGAGAUGUGACAUGAGAAAAGUAUUGAGAAUACUUCUAUCACCUCAUCUUCAAGAAUCCGUAGGAAUUCUCCCAUGGUGGACUUUACGGUUAACCUGAACAGGUCUUGGAAAAAGGACUUUAAACAUUCUCCUGUUCUGUGGAAUAAGUAUACUUUUUUCUGGACAUACACCUUGUCAGUGAGUUCCAUGUGAUACUAGAGUUGCAUAGAUUUUUAACCUUUACGCCAAUGAAGAUCUGAGGCAAACAUUGCCCCUUUUUUAGAAGUUUGCAUUUGUCACUGAUAACUGUAAUAAUUGAUCUUGUUGAAAAGCCUGGGAAAUGAAGAUCUGAUAUGUCACUUUUACCGGCUUCCUCAACUGAAAAAGAAUACAAUGAAACACGCUGAGAAUUUUUGUGCUUUCUCAGUCUUGCUGAUGAUCUUUCUAUGGGCCUGAAGCGUGGAGAGUGCCAGAGAGGCUGAUCCUCAGCAGUGUGGCAGAGGAAAGUUGGGUGCGACUAAGGGGUAUGCGGUGCCCACAUGCCACUGGGUCCUCAGCAGUACCACCUGAUUGGAAGUGAUAUUGGUGGAAGACAACAUUUUGCCGCUUGGAAUUCUCACCUCCACACCAAAGAAGUACUGUUUUUGUCAUUUGCACCAGCUUCUUUCUCCAGGAAAGAUCAAAACGAUGCACUGCAAGUGUGAUUGGUCCAGAUAGCUGCCUUAUCCAACUGCCUCCUUUGGACCACUUCAUCAUGGGACAGCUUGAUGCAAUCUACUUGACAAGACCCUGGAACCCCACACCCCUCAUGGAACCAGUGUCCACCUCCCAGUCACAGUGUGACCCCAGGGAACUCUUGCCUGCUUGCUUUAAACCCACCACUUAAAAGUCUCCACAGAAAACCUGUUUGAAUAGUACCCUUGACCCAAUAAGGGCAUUGGCCCCUGGGUGUCUCUCUCUCUCUCUCUCUCUCUCUCUCCCUCUCUCUCCCUCUCUCUCUCUCGCUCCCUGACCUCUGCGUGUGGACUCCAGGCAUGCCAUAUACCCCUCAGGACCUGAAGCAAAAGAAUGAAUUAAAGAAAACUCCAGAGAAUGAGCUGACAACCUACUCCCUGGUCAGUGGCUCUCCAUGCCUACCUGUGGUCUCUUGGACACCCUUGCAGAUGACUUCCUGGGAACUCUUCUGGGAGUGAAUGUUAUCAGCAAAUUCCCAAAACAACACCCCUUAGACAAAAAGCCUCCUCACCUAUGCAUUGCCUAGACCACCCACUAAAGGUGAUGGCCACAAAGAGGUGGAUUUGUUGAGUUGGUGCCAUUCCUUCUACUGCCAGCUUCACCAAAACAAUGACACAGUCUUCCUUCCGCAUGGAGACUCUUCUCUUUCCUGUGUUGCAGUGGAUGCCUCCUGCAGAUAAGAAAUGCUUAACUGAGAAAUGCUCAUGUUGGGAUAUCAUCGAUGAGACUUUAAUUUGGGCAUGGUGACUGUUUCCCUUGCUGCCACUUGACUCAAUCCCAGGAGCCUCAGUAGAGGAUAUAAUAUUACACAAGAUGCUCAAAAUGGUGGAAUUGCUCAGUGCUCCCAUAAAUAUACAUUUAUAAUUUUCAUUUGCCACAUGGUAAACUGAAAAAUACAGACUAUAUUAAAAAGAAACUGCAUGAUUUUUUUUCAAAAAUUCAAAGCAUAUUUAAAUAAUAUAUAAAUUAAAUGCCCUCCUCUCUUCCAAUUCUGUCCCUAUAGUUUUCCUCUAUUAAGUGAACUACAUGCAUUCUUUUAGUGGAUAGAUGCACACAAACACACAAGCCAUUAUGGGGAAGGAUCCACGUGUGUGGCCAUAUUGUAACACAUUUUUCUGCAAAUCACCUCUUUCAUUUAACAGCCCUUAUUCAAUGGCCUUUUUCUUUUUCAGUAGUACAUACACAUCUGUGUCAUUUGUUGAAUGACGACAUGAAUGUUUUGUAGAUAAAAUAUAAUUAAAUGUUUUAAGCAUUUCUCACUCAUAGAUAUUUAUGUUAGCACCAAAUUUCUGUGCAAUGAACCUCCCUAUAUAUCAGUAAUUUUGCAUUUGUCUAUAAUAUCAUAAUAAAUUACUUAUCAGUUGAA
ensembl:lncRNA SNHG14 small nucleolar RNA host gene 14